rnacentral:tRNA from 1 species
GUGUGAGUAGCUCAGCUUAGAGCGCCGGUCUUGUAAGCCGGAUGUCGGAGGUUAAAAUCCUCCCUCCCACU